GGAAACUCCUUCUGGCAAGUGAAAGAAGCUCAGUGUGACUGGGGUAUAGCCGACAAAGGAAAGAGUCCCACGGCAAGUGUUUGACAACCAGGAAUGAAAUUCAGGGCUGACUGCCAGUGGCCUGUAGGAGGAGAUGCACAGCUGUCCUACGGAUUGUUCUUCGGUUAAGCUCACUCAUCCAGCAGGACUCAAUCUCAGCCACAAGAAUGCAGCCCCCAGCCUUCAUUACCAGCUACCUGGGCUUUGCUGUGAUUAGCCAUCACUGGAGAAUGUGGUAAGUCUAUGGACUUUCUUCCUCUAAAAUGCCUUCAUCUGUAGUUGAGAGUGAGGGUUUUAUCUCUCUCUGGUUCCACUCUCAAGGACAAAUCUUGGAGGCUUCCCUUUCUUAUCAUCACUGAUUUUCAGGUAUUAAAAAAAAAAAAAA